rnacentral:rRNA from 1 species
CACGUAGGGACCAAGCGUUGUCCGGAUUUAUUGGGCGUAAAGAGCUCGUAGGCGGCUUGGUAAGUCGGGUGUGAAACCUCCAGGCUCAACCUGGUGACGCCACCCGAUACUGCCAUAGCUUGAGUUCGGUAGGGGAGCGGGGAAUUCCCAGUGUAGCGGUGAAAUGCGUAGAUAUCAGGAGGAACACCUGCGGUGUAGACGGCUUACUGGACCACCACUGACGCUGAGGCACGAAAGCGUGGGUAGCAAACAGG